CCUACGGGAGGCUACAGUGGGGAAUAUUGGACAAUGGGGGCAACCCUGAUCCAGCCAUGCCGCGUGUGUGAAGAAGGCCCUCGGGUUGUAAAGCACUUUCAGUGAGGAAGAACGCCUGGUGGUUAAUACCCAUCAGGAAAGACAUCACUCACAGAAGAAGCACCGGCUAACUCCGUGCCAGCAGCCGCGGUAAUACGGAGGGUGCGAGCGUUAAUCGGAAUUACUGGGCGUAAAGCGCGCGUAGGUGGCUUGAUAAGCCGGUUGUGAAAGCCCCGGGCUCAACCUGGGAACGGCAUCCGGAACUGUCAAGCUAGAGUGCAGGAGAGGAAGGUAGAAUUCCCGGUGUAGCGGUGAAAUGCGUAGAGAUCGGGAGGAAUUCCAGUGGCGAAGGCGGCCUUCUGGACUGACACUGACACUGAGGUGCGAAAGCGUGGGUAGCAAACAGGAUUAGAUACCCCAGUAGUC
rnacentral:rRNA from 1 species